CCGGGCAUUUUAUGCCACGUUAGCAAUUUUAGUUUGAAAAGUCUUAAUUUAUGUGAUGGUUGAAAAGUAAAAAAGAAAAGCGUUUGGAGAACACGUGUCAAUUUCGGAUUGGUGAAUUUCGUUUUAUUGCGUCGGUCAAUUAAACGAGUUGAAAUUUUAUGCCAUGUCAGCCUUAGGAUAGAAAAUUCUUAGGAUUUUAGAAAUUGGAAAUUUACGGGAACGAAAAACGAAAACGAAAAAUGAAAAAUAAAUAAAUUAAGAUUAAUUAGAAUUAAUUAAGAAAAAAUUAAUUAAUUAAUUAAAUUAAAUUGAUGAAUAAAAAUAUUGAGAAAAUUAGUUUUUAUUUGGUGUUAAUAAAUAAAAUUGUGUGUUAAAAUGAAAAAAAAAUGAAUGAAAAAUGAAUUGGAAAUUAAAUAAAACAAUUAGAAUAAAGAAAAGAAAAUAAAAUAAAAGAAAAGAAAUAAUAACAAUAAUAAUGGAUUGGGCUUAGUUUUUGAGUUGGGCUUGGAGCAAGUGGGCUGGUGGGUUUUUUUUAAAAAGCCAUGUGAAGUGGGCUGGGCUGUUAGUAAAAAGAAAAAAAAAAAAAAAAAAGGAAAAGGGAGAGAACUGGCAGUAGCACGCACGCGGGAGAGAGAAACAGAAAAGGGCACUGUGCAAAUUAGGGCACUUGCCGGAAUUUUGAUCGGACGUUUGGACGGCCAAACGAUCUCCGUUUCGGCCCAAAUUCAGAGGAAGUACUCUAUUCGACUAGACGAACAAGCCUGCGGUGGCUGAUUUUGUUUUUAACGGUCAAAUUUUCAGAUCUGAGAUGCAGAUAUCUCUCCUGAGGAUCCACAGGUGGGACAGGGAGGACUUCAAGAUGCUCCUGGAGCGGCCUAGUGGAGCGUGGCAUUUAUUUGUUAUUGUGUUCCUUUUUGGAUUUUGGGGAUUUGUUUUAGCAAUUAUGACUCAUGGAUUUGCUAUGAAGCUUUAUUUGAUUAAGUUGUUAAUUGUGAACCUUUAUUUUGGACUAUAAUGAAUAUUUAUUUAAUCUUGUUGUUUUGAGUA